rnacentral:lncRNA from 1 species
GUGUUCCGAGAGGCUCCACACAGCCAGGUCGUUCCCGCCGCGGGCUCCCGACCGCGGUCGGCCUCCAGGAGCAGCCACGCCGCCAGCACGACCAGCGCAUAGCCAUGGUUCAAGUCUGAAAGUCGCGGCGGGCCGUAGCUCCGCCUCUGCCCCAAGCCCAAACCCGGAGCCGGAAGCUGGGCACCGGAAGCGCGAAGCCGCACCCUGUUCCCCACCCGGUCGCCUGUCCUCUUCAACCCUCCUCGGAGCCACUGGCUCUAGUCGGGAGCCGCGUCCGCUUUUAUCCAGAAAUGUGCGUCCGAACUGUUGUCCUACGCGGGACAAAGCGUGCAGAAAUCUGGUUCCGGUACCUGCUAACCCUGAGGCCAUUGUUUUCGCAAUGCCAAGCUCCGAGUGGACGUGCCAACUUCCUCUAA